UACGAAGGGGGCUAGCGUUGUUCGGAAUUACUGGGCGUAAAGCGCGCGCAGGCGGUCCUCCAAGUCAGGGGUGAAAUCCUGGAGCUCAACUCCAGAACUGCCUUUGAUACUGAAGAUCUUGAGUCCGGGAGAGGUGAGUGGAACUGCGAGUGUAGAGGUGAAAUUCGUAGAUAUUCGCAAGAACACCAGUGGCGAAGGCGGCUCACUGGCCCGGUACUGACGCUGAGGCACGAAAGCGUGGGGAGCAAACA
rnacentral:rRNA from 1 species